CUCUCAGUUAUGCAGCUGACGACACACACACCUAUUCAUCGAGGUUGCCAUGGUCAAUGUUCGGUUGAAGGUCAAGGGCUUUUUCGUCAUACAAGGAUCAAAAGAUGUUUCUGAGAUUGGGCCUCGUUUACUUGUGGGCCAGGGAUUGCGAUGGGCCCAUAUUUACUAUGAUUAA